GAUGAACGCUGGCGGCGUGCCUAAUACAUGCAAGUCGAGCGAACGGACGAGAAGCUUGCUUCUCUGAUGUUAGCGGCGGACGGGUGAGUAACACGUGGAUAACCUACCUAUAAGACUGGGAUAACUUCGGGAAACCGUAGCUAAUACCGGAUAAUAUUUUGAACCGCAUGGUUCAAAAGUGAAAGACGGUCUUGCUGUCACUUAUAGAUGGAUCCGCGCUGCAUUAGCUAGUUGGUAAGGUAACGGCUUACCAAGGCAACGAUGCAUAGCCGACCUGAGAGGGUGAUCGGCCACACUGGAACUGAGACACGGUCCAGACUCCUACGGGAGGCAGCAGUAGGGAAUCUUCCGCAAUGGGCGAAAGCCUGACGGAGCAACGCCGCGUGAGUGAUGACGGUCUUCGGAUCGUAAAACUCUGUUAUUAGGGAAGAACAUAUGUGUAAGUAACUGUGCACAUCUUGACGGUACCUAAUCAGAAAGCCACGGCUAACUACGUG
rnacentral:rRNA from 1 species